rnacentral:rRNA from 1 species
GACGAACGCUGGCGGCGUGCUUAACACAUGCAAGUCGAACGCUGAAGCUUGGUGCUUGCACUGGGUGGAUGAGUGGCGAACGGGUGAGUAAUACGUGAGUAACCUGCCCUUGACUCUGGGAUAAGCCUGGGAAACUGGGUCUAAUACUGGAUACGACAUGUCACCGCAUGGUGGUGUGUGGAAAGGGUUUUACUGGUUUUGGAUGGGCUCACGGCCUAUCAGCUUGUUGGUGGGGUAAUGGCUCACCAAGGCGAUGACGGGUAGCCGGCCUGAGAGGGUGACCGGCCACACUGGGACUGAGACACGGCCCAGACUCCUACGGGAGGCAGCAGUGGGGAAUAUUGCACAAUGGGCGGAAGCCUGAUGCAGCGACGCCGCGUGAGGGAUGACGGCCUUCGGGUUGUAAACCUCUUUCAGCACGGAAGAAGCGAAAGUGACGGUACGUGCAGAAGAAGCGCCGGCUAACUACGU